rnacentral:rRNA from 1 species
GGAAUAUUGCACAAUGGGCGAAAGCCUGAUGCAGCGACGCCGCGUGAGGGAUGACGGCCUUCGGGUUGUAAACCUCUUUCAGUAGGGAAGAAGCGAAAGUGACGGUACCUGCAGAAGAAGCGCCGGCUAACUACGUGCCAGCAGCCGCGGUAAUACGUAGGGCGCAAGCGUUAUCCGGAAUUAUUGGGCGUAAAGAGCUCGUAGGCGGUUUGUCGCGUCUGCCGUGAAAGUCCGAGGCUCAACUUCGGAUCUGCGGUGGGUACGGGCAGACUAGAGUGAUGUAGGGGAGACUGGAAUUCCUGGUGUAGCGGUGAAAUGCGCAGAUAUCAGGAGGAACACCGAUGGCGAAGGCAGGUCUCUGGGCAUCUACUGACGCUGAGGAGCGAAAGCAUGGGGAGCGAACAGGAUUAGAUACCCGGG